UACGAGGGGGGCGAGCGUUGUUCGGAAUUAUUGGGCGUAAAGGGUGCGUAGGCGGUUUUGUAAGUCUUAUGUGAAAUCUAUGGGCUCAACUCAUAGACUGCAUGAGAAACUGCAGGGCUUGAGUGUGGGAGAGGUGAGUGGAAUUCCUGGUGUAGUGGUGAAAUGCGUAGAUAUCAGGAGGAACACCUGUGGCGAAAGCGGCUCACUGGACCACAACUGACGCUGAUGCACGAAAGCUAGGGGAGCAAACAGG
rnacentral:rRNA from 1 species